AGUGAACGCUGGCGGUAGGCCUAACACAUGCAAGUCGAACGGCAGCACAGUAAGAGCUUGCUCUUACGGGUGGCGAGUGGCGGACGAGUGAGGAAUACAUCGGAAUCUACUUUUUCGUGGGGGAUGACGUAGGGAAACUUACGCUAAUACCGCAUACGACCUACGGGUGAAAGCAGGGGAUCUUCGGACCUUGCGCGAUUGAAUGAGCCGAUGUCGGAUUAGCUAGUUGGCGGGGUAAAGGCCCACCAAGGCGAUGAUCCGUAGCUGGUCUGAGAGGAUGAUCAGCCACACUGGAACUGAGACACGGUCCAGACUCCUACGGGAGGCAGCAGUGGGGAAUAUUGGACAAUGGGCGCAAGCCUGAUCCAGCCAUACCGCGUGGGUGAAGAAGGCCUUCGGGUUGUAAAGCCCUUUUGUUGGGAAAGAAAAGCAGCAGGUUAAUACCCCGCUGUUCUGACGGUACCCAAAGAAUAAGCACCGGCUAACUUCGUG
rnacentral:rRNA from 1 species